rnacentral:rRNA from 1 species
AGCGAACGCUGGCGGCAGGCUUAACACAUGCAAGUCGAGCGGGCAUCUUCGGAUGUCAGCGGCGGACGGGUGAGUAACACGUGGGAACGUACCCUUCGGUUCGGAACAACUCUGGGAAACUGGAGCUAAUACCGGAUACGCCCUUAUGGGGAGAGGUUUACUGCCGAAGGAUCGGCCCGCGUCUGAUUAGCUAGUUGGUGGGGUAACGGCCUACCAAGGCGACGAUCAGUAGCUGGUCUGAGAGGAUGAUCAGCCACACUGGGACUGAGACACGGCCCAGACUCCUACGGGAGGCAGCAGUGGGGAAUAUUGGACAAUGGGCGCAAGCCUGAUCCAGCCAUGCCGCGUGAGUGAUGAAGGCCUUAGGGUUGUAAAGCUCUUUUGUCCGGGACGAUAAUGACGGUACCGGAAGAAUAAGCCCCGGCUAACUUCGUG